rnacentral:rRNA from 1 species
CCCUUAAUUGGGGGCUUGAAUGAACGGUCGGACAUGAAGGAAGCUGUCUCGGCGCGGAGGACGUGAAAUUAACUUUUGUGUGAAAAGGCAUUAAUGGGUUAGGGGGACGAUAAGACCCUAUAAAACUUGAUGGGUGGGUGUCCGGGCCAGGAGUUGGGUGUAAGGGGGCUCGGGCGGUGUCCAUUUUGCUGGGGCGGCAGGAAUGUAAUCAGUAACCGUUCUUCAGGUGGAAUGGUGAUAGCCAGAUUUUGACCCUGGAUUCUGGGUUAGGAGUGUAAGUUACUUUAGGGAUAACAGCGUUA